rnacentral:rRNA from 1 species
UACGUAGGGUGCAAGCGUUAAUCGGAAUUACUGGGCGUAAAGCGUGCGCAGGCGGUUUUGUAAGUCUGUCGUGAAAUCCCCGGGCUCAACCUGGGAAUUGCGAUGGAGACUGCAAGGCUAGAGUUUGGCAGAGGGGGGUAGAAUUCCACGUGUAGCAGUGAAAUGCGUAGAUAUGUGGAGGAACACCGAUGGCGAAGGCAGCCCCCUGGGUCAAAACUGACGCUCAUGCACGAAAGCGUGGGGAGCAAACAGG